ACGCUCGACACCUACGGAGGCAGCAGUGGGGAAUAUUGCACAAUGGGGGAAACCCUGAUGCAGCGACGCCGCGUGAGUGAAGAAGUAUUUCGGUAUGUAAAGCUCUAUCAGCAGGGAAGAAGAUGACGGUACCUGAGUAAGAAGCCCCGGCUAACUACGUGCCAGCAGCUGCGGUAAUCUGAGCGGGCUGGCAAGGC
rnacentral:rRNA from 1 species